rnacentral:rRNA from 1 species
AUUGAACGCUGGCGGCAGGCUUAACACAUGCAAGUCGGACGGUUUCAAGUGCUUGCACUUGAGAUAGUGGCGAACGGGUGAGUAAUACUUAGGAAUCUGGCCAUUAAAGGGGGACAACAUCGCGAAAGUGAUGCUAAUACCGCAUACGCCCUACGGGGGAAAGCAGGGGAUUUUCGGACCUUGCGAUAAUGGAUGAGCCUAAGUCAGAUUAGCUAGUUGGUGGGGUAAAGGCCUACCAAGGCGACGAUCUGUAGCGGGUCUGAGAGGAUGAUCCGCCACACUGGGACUGAGACACGGCCCAGACUCCUACGGGAGGCAGCAGUGGGGAAUAUUGGACAAUGGGGGGAACCCUGAUCCAGCCAUGCCGCGUGUGUGAAGAAGGCAUUAUUGUUGUAAAGCACUUUAAGCGGGGAGGAGGCUGUUGUUGUUAAUACCAACAAACAGUGGACGUUACCCGCAGAAUAAGCACCGGCUAACUCUGUGCCAGCCGCCGCCGUAA